rnacentral:lncRNA from 1 species
GAAGCUCAAGAACAGCUUGUCGUGAUGAUACCUAGCAGCAUCAAUAACUUUAUAAACCUAUCUGUGCUUCCAACAUAUUUUAAGCGUUGGACAUCAAAAUACAAUCUACAGUUUACUUGUUUGAUUUCUGAAGUAUGUUUGAAAACAUAAAGGAGCUUAUUCCUCUCAGAGUCCAUCAUAAACUACCUAGGACACAUAUGGAGUACUACAUAUAAAGAUAUAGACACUGAUCACUAUUAUAUUGCAGACUACCGAAAAAUAGAUUUCCGAAUAUGGUCCUGUUUCCUAUCUUUAUAACUUAUAUUCUGCUCUCACUAAUUACUCCUGGUUGUCACGUUUUUGUUUUUGUCGGUUGAAUUGACUAAUUUUUUUAUCAAAAAUUAUAAGUUACUCUUUCAUUAUUUUAAAAAACUGAAAAUCAUAUAACAAAAAGAAAAAAUCACAUCUUAAAGUAGAUUAUAAGUUAUUUUCGAUGACAUUUUUUUUAAUUAAUCAAUUGAUAAAGUAUUAAAAAAAUUCAAUCAAACUUUGGUCAAUUUGACCGGCACAAACCCAAAUGUGACAACUAAAAAGAGACAGAAGGAGUACUGUAUUAUUUAAACGGGUCCAGAUCCCGACAUACGAUUGCUGGCAGAGUUUUUAUCCAACACACGCCACACUGUCGGAUUACAUCAAAAAUUUUAUUGGAUAUCCGCGUUUAAAAAACGUUGUAUACCUGUCUGCAACGAUUUUAAGCGCUGGACGGAUAGAUUGUUUUUUAUCUGUAUGCAACGGUUUUAAGCACUAGACGGAUAAAUUGUUUUUUGAUAUACUACGCUUGAAAAAUACUUUAAUUUUAUUAUUAUACGUAAAAUAUAAUAAGAAUUUUUUUACAAAAUAUUGGUACUUUUGUAAGUGAUGACUCCUUUUUCCUUUCCCUCUUUUCAGGAUCUUGUGAAAUUAAAAUUCUGAUAUGUUUUUUACAGAAGCUCAAGAACAGCUUGUCGUGAUGAUACCUAGCAGCAUCAAUAACUUUAUAAACCUAUCUGUGCUUCCAACAUAUUUUAAGCGUUGGACAUCAAAAUACAAUCUACAGUUUACUUGUUUGAUUUCUGAAGUAUGUUUGAAAACAUAAAGGAGCUUAUUCCUCUCAGAGUCCAUCAUCGUAUUAAGUCCUCCCGGAAUAAAAGGUUCCCUCAAUCCAAAUUCCUUUAAAGCCUCAGUUGCU